UUCCAGUAAGCAUUCAUAUCCAAUCAUGAUCAGUUUCAUAACAGAAAACCAUUGCAACCACCAAUUACAGUAUGUAUGAGAACUCUAUUCGUGUUUUGCUAAGACAAAUCAGUGCAAACCCAAACUCCAAACUCCAAACUCCAAACCAUUCGCCAUUUUCAAAGUAGAGAAGAGACUACAACUUAGCUUUAAAGAGAAGUGACGACUGCCUGCUAUGAAUCGGACCUGCUCUGAAUCUGAAAACGGCACGGCGAUAGACUUGGAGGAAUUGACCGAGGGAGGUUUGGGAAGAAGCCAAUCAGAUCUUGGCCGAGAGAGACUACCGGCGUUGAGAUCGGUGGCUGGCUGGGAGACGUUGAGAUCGGUGGCUGGCUGGCCGAGAGAGAUCGGUGGCUGUCCGAGAGAGACUCUCGCCAAGUCGCCUCACUCGAACUGUCUUCCGGGAGGUUGGGUCGCUGCGUUUUAAGGUCGGCGGUAGCAGCUGCUACUUCCUUGCAAGGCGUGGUCGAACCGGUGCGACGGGGCGGCGGGUUUGAGUGAGA
rnacentral:lncRNA from 1 species